rnacentral:rRNA from 1 species
GAUGAACGCUGGCGGCGUGCCUAAUACAUGCAAGUCGAGCGAACGGACGAGAAGCUUGCUUCUCUGAUGUUAGCGGCGGACGGGUGAGUAACACGUGGAUAACCUACCUAUAAGACUGGGAUAACUUCGGGAAACCGGAGCUAAUACCGGAUAAUAUUUUGAACCGCAUGGUUCAAAAGUGAAAGACGGUCUUGCUGUCACUUAUAGAUGGAUCCGCGCUGCAUUAGCUAGUUGGUAAGGUAACGGCUUACCAAGGCAACGAUGCAUAGCCGACCUGAGAGGGUGAUCGGCCACACUGGAACUGAGACACGGUCCAGACUCCUACGGGAGGCAGCAGUAGGGAAUCUUCCGCAAUGGGCGAAAGCCUGACGGAGCAACGCCGCGUGAGUGAUGAAGGUCUUCGGAUCGUAAAACUCUGUUAUUAGGGAAGAACAUAUGUGUAAGUAACUGUGCACAUCUUGACGGUACCUAAUCAGAAAGCCACGGCUAACUACGUGCCAGCAGCCGCGGUAAUACGUAGGUGGCAAGCGUUAUCCGGAAUUAUUGGGCGUAAAGCGCGCGUAGGCGGUUUUUUAAGUCUGAUGUGAAAGCCCACGGCUCAACCGUGGAGGGUCAUUGGAAACUGGAAAACUUGAGUGCAGAAGAGGAAAGUGGAAUUCCAUGUGUAGCGGUGAAAUGCGCAGAGAUAUGGAGGAACACCAGUGGCGAAGGCGACUUUCUGGUCUGUAACUGACGCUGAUGUGCGAAAGCGUGGGGAUCAAACAGGAUUAGAUACCCUGGUAGUCCACGCCGUAAACGAUGAGUGCUAAGUGUUAGGGGGUUUCCGCCCCUUAGUGCUGCAGCUAACGCAUUAAGCACUCCGCCUGGGGAGUACGACCGCAAGGUUGAAACUCAAAGGAAUUGACGGGGACCCGCACAAGCGGUGGAGCACGUGGUUUAAUUCGAAGCAACGCGAAGAACCUUACCAAAUCUUGACAUCCUUUGACAACUCUAGAGAUAGAGCCUUCCCCUUCGGGGGGGCAAAGUGACAGGUGGUGCAUGGUUGUCGUCAGCUCGUGUCGUGAGAUGUUGGGUUAAGUCCCGCAACGAGCGCAACCCUUAAGCUUAGUUGCCAUCAUUAAGUUGGGCACUCUAAGUUGACUGCCGGUGACAAACCGGAGGAAGGUGGGGAUGACGUCAAAUCAUCAUGCCCCUUAUGAUUUGGGCUACACACGUGCUACAAUGGACAAUACAAAGGGCAGCGAAACCGCGAGGUCAAGCAAAUCCCAUAAAGUUGUUCUCAGUUCGGAUUGUAGUCUGCAACUCGACUACAUGAAGCUGGAAUCGCUAGUAAUCGUAGAUCAGCAUGCUACGGUGAAUACGUUCCCGGGUCU